rnacentral:rRNA from 1 species
CCUACGGGCGGCAGCAGUGAGGAAUAUUGGUCAAUGGACGAGAGUCUGAACCAGCCAAGUAGCGUGAAGGAUGACUGCCCUAUGGGUUGUAAACUUCUUUUAUAUGGGAAUAAAAUGUUCCACGUGUGGGAUUUUGUAUGUACCAUAUGAAUAAGGAUCGGCUAACGCCGUGCCAGCAGCCGCGGGAAUACGGAGGAUCCGAGCGUUAUCCGGAUUUAUUGGGUUUAAAGGGAGCGUAGGUGGAUUGUUAAGUCAGUUGUGAAAGUUUGCGGCUCAACCGUAAAAUUGCAGUUGAAACUGGCAGUCUUGAGUACAGUAGAGGUGGGCGGAAUUCGUGGUGUAGCGGUGAAAUGCUUAGAUAUCACGAAGAACUCCGAUUGCGAAGGCAGUUCACUGGACUGCAACUGACACUGAGGCUCGAAAGUGUGGGUAUCAAACAGGAUUAGAUACCCCAGUAGUC